rnacentral:pre_miRNA from 1 species
AAAGUACUCUCUCCGUCCCAAAAUUCUUGUCCUAGAUUUGUCUAGAUACGGAUGUAUCAAGUCACAUUUUAGUAUUAGAUACAUCCGUAUCUAGACAAAUCUAAGACAAGAAAUUUGGGACAGAGGGAGUAGUUG